rnacentral:rRNA from 1 species
AGGGUUCGAUUAUGGCUCAGGAUGAACGCUGGCGGCGUGCUUAACACAUGCAAGUCGAACGAACCUUCGGGUUAGUGGCGGACGGGUGAGUAACGCGUGAGAAUCUGCCCUCAGGAGGGGGAUAACGGUUGGAAACGACCGCUAAUACCCCAUAUGCCUACUGGUGAAAUGAAUUUCGCCUGAGGAUGAGCUCGCGUCUGAUUAGCUAGUUGGUGAGGUAAUGGCUCACCAAGGCUUCGAUCAGUAGCUGGUCUGAGAGGAUGAUCAGCCACACUGGGACUGAGACACGGCCCAGACUCCUACGGGAGGCAGCAGUGGGGAAUUUUCCGCAAUGGGCGAAAGCCUGACGGAGCAACGCCGCGUGAGGGACGAAGGCCUCUGGGCUGUAAACCUCUUUUCUCAAGGAAGAAGAUAUGACGGUACUUGAGGAAUAAGCCACGGCUAAUUCCGUGCCAGCCGCCGCGGUAAUAC